rnacentral:rRNA from 1 species
AUGAACUCCUCCUUAGUUAGCCUGCUUAUGUUCUUGAUGGGAUUCUAUAGUUUGCAUGAAUCCCUUCACUAGGAAGUCACCAAGUAUUUGUCUCAUUUCUUCUGGGCGAGACCAGAUAAUAGACAGAAAUAUCACAUGGUGAAAUGGUCUGAGGUUUGCAAGCCAAAGGACCAAGGUGGCUUGGGAGUCAUCUCGUCCAAGCGGAUGAACAUAGCCUUGCUCUCCAAAUGGUUAUGGCGCAUUGAGGCAGGAGAUGGGGGCCUAUGGCUCCAGAUUAUCCGCGCAAAGUACCUGCGUGGACAACCCCUUGCCUUCGCCUCCCGGACGGGUGGCUCCCAGUUUUGGCAAGCCGUCAUCCAGCUUAUGCCGGUCCUACGGAUUGGAACAUCCAUCUCGGUGGGGACAGGCACCAACACCCUGUUCUGGCUUGACCGUUGGUCGGGUGAUAGACUAUUUGCCCAACGUUUCAGCUUAAGUUUGGUUAUUGAAUAG